UCUAGAUCUUGGUGAGUCUCUUAAAUUUCUAAGGUUAAUUCAAUGUCAUUUUAAAAAAAUUCUGGUAGUUAAUUGUUUUGACUUUACUACCUGCUCUUUUGGUACUUAAAGGAGGAAUGGGCCGAACACAGCGAUUUGAGGGUGAACCUGACCAUCUUGUUCCAGCAGCAUCAGAGGUGCUUAUUGAAAGCAACCUCUUCCAGGUUGCAGGAGGGAUGCUGGCCCACAGCUUUCUACAUGAUGGUCCCCAUGUCGCAGUUCUCCUGUCAUUUAUGUACUGUUCAAUGGGGACCCUGAAACAGCAACUGUUGUUACAGAAGACUGCCCUGAUCUGCACAUCAGGAGUAUCAUAAAACUGGUAUGUACCACAAAAAACUUUUGCAAAAAAUAUUCGGGAAAAUGUAAUAACUUGUAUGGUCUUGUUUCAAGCUUGAACAUGAAGAACUUAAGGAGACAGUUUCAGAUCUUGCCAUAUCUUGGGAUCUCCCUGCAGUCACCAAAACAAAUCAGAGAUGGCUACAUAACAAACUUCUCCUCCACGCAGUGAAUACCUGCAGGUUAACUUAAGUGGCACAAUUCAAAGCUAAUACUGGCAGGAAUAAAAUGGUCAAGCAAAUUUCUGAGAGAACAGGAGAGAGAGAGAGAGAGAGAGAGGGAGAGAGAGGGACUUUUUUCAUCUAAAUUUAGUUGUGAAAUUUUUGCUUUGCCCAUGGUCAUGUUUAAGUUUUUCAAAACCAGCAUUUAAUGCACAGUGUAUAGAAAUAGUCUGUUGUUUAUGGUUUAACCACAGCAUUUCUCAUGCCUAGAAGUGUUGAAAUUUAGGUUGAGGUGCUGUAAUAUUUGUUGGGUCCUUGUCUUAGGUAAUUGGGAGGACUGGUGUUUGGUGUUUGGAUGUCUUCUGUGAAGCUCAGUUACGAUACAGUCUAACUCCUCAUUAGUGAUUGUUGAAUAGAGGUCUGUCUUUCUGUACAAGCAGAAAAAAAGAAUAAUUUUACCUUUAAUAUCCUUUCUGCGUGGAUGAGACAAUUAAGCAAUUCAUUAACUGACGAAUAAUUGAUUUAAUGUCAAUACCUUAAAGCAUGUUGUUUGAUGCACCUGCUGAUGGUCCUCUUUGACACGCCGAACAUUAUUGCAAUUUGACUGGCUGACAAUCCACAAAGAACGUGGUGUUUAAGAACUGCAAUCGGUAUGUCAAAUGCCAAACGCCCUGGUCCUUGUGUCUGUGGGGCUUGUUGUGUCCUAUGAGACAAGCGGCGAAGUACUUCCUCUAAAUUUUCUGUCACUUUGGUGUCUAUAUCUUGGUUAGCAAGCGCAGGAAAUAGGCCCAAAGCCUCGAUAAAUUCUUCAAUUUUAUCAGCAACUUGCUCUGGGUCAGCAGGUCCUGCUUCCACAUCCUCUAGUAACUGUAAAAUCCCUCUCACCAAUUCCCUCGGAAGGUCCUCCAUGUCCCUCUCCCAGCUACUUCAGACCAAAGUAACAGAUCAGACUGGAUUCGUUACCCCCGCCCACUCACUUUGACGGGUGAGUUUGACAGAUGAAAUUAUUUCAUGAUGCACUGCAACACCUGAUCAUAAAAUGAAUGUAUUUUCAUG
rnacentral:lncRNA from 1 species